GUCGGGAUAGCUCAGCUGUAGAGCAAAAGAACUGAAAA
rnacentral:tRNA from 1 species